UACGUAGGGGGCGAGCGUUGUCCGGAAUUACUGGGCGUAAAGAGAGCGUAGGCGGCACUACAAGUCUCAUGUGAAAUACCCGGGCUUAACUUGGGGGUUGCAUGGGAAACUGUAGAGCUUGAGUACAGGAGAGGCAAGCGGAAUUCCUAGUGUAGCGGUGAAAUGCAUAGAUAUUAGGAGGAACACCAGUGGCGAAGGCGGCUUGCUGGACUGAAACUGACGCUGAGGCUCGAAAGCGUGGGGAGCAAUCAGG
rnacentral:rRNA from 1 species